rnacentral:piRNA from 1 species
UCAGAGGUCGGGUUAAAAGAAGUAU